CAAUUUUCCAUAUCUAAAAAUGGAACUCUUACAUGGUCUUACUUGACAUCAAUAUUUUAAGCAUUUGGGCUCUAAAGUGCUGAAACAUUACUUGCAGCAAGUAAGGAAUCCCAGUGUUGUCAAUAUUAAUACAUGUACAACCACAAUGACAUGCAUGCUGUCUCACAGCUUUAGAAAUCCUUGAAGGAAAGUUGCUAAGAAUAUCAUACAGUAAACCAGGAGAACACAGUCCACUAAACCUUUCUCAAGUGCGUUAAUAUCCUGGGGUUCAUAGUGUCUGCACUGCUCUCUAUUACAAAUUCACAGAAUCUAUGUUGAACAACUUUUAAACAAUUACAUUUUUACAUACGCAAAAAGGAAACAGAUACUCGCAGUCGGAAAUUACCUUUAUUGUGGAUUUGCGAAAAAAAAAUACCAUCAUCAAAAACAACCCAACAAAGGACAAAAAGGAAAAUUCCCACAGCUACUAAAAGCCCACUCCCACUCACUCAUAGCUUUGCCAAAAAUCCCCCAGAAGGUAACCCUCCAAAAACCAGAGCCCCCAAACAGAGUGUGAAACACUUUUGGGUACAGACCCGUUCUCAAUGUCUUGUGACUUCUCUAAGGAAUAUAUCCUGUCUUACCACCGCGGUGUCACAGCAGCUUGUGAAGAGACCUUGAUCAGACCGUAUGUUGUCACAGAGAAUGCAGCCAUGGAUCCCUUCUGCUUCCUGGAGGGCUUAAGAGCCAAACUUUGCAGUCUUCUUUACCUGUACAUUAAUUCUUUCUUCAAUUCAGUCGAUGCUUUUUCUUCAAAACUUGCACAUCUUCCUUACAAAGCCAAAGUGACAUCUAGAGAGCUUCUUGUGGAGGGUUACCCAAUCAACAGCUUUCAAAGAGGUUCUCCUUUGAGAAAGGACCAAACAUGCAACACUUCAGGAAGACCACUUGCCUUUCAAUAAAAUGAGGGGCAGAUGAAAAGCAGGAAGAGGAAGGGCAACAUUAUUCUUGCAAUGGAAAACUAGUUACAAGCUUAGAGGUACAGAUGACUCCACGUAAAGCCUUACCUCUGC